rnacentral:rRNA from 1 species
UACGUAGGGUGCAAGCGUUGUCCGGAAUUAUUGGGCGUAAAGAGCUCGUAGGCGGCUUGUCACGUCGACUGUGAAAACCCGGGGCUCAACCCCGGGUCGGCCGUCGAUACUCUCGUGCUUGAGCACUGUAGAGGCAGGUGGAAUUCCGGGUGUAGCGGUGGAAUGCGUAGAGAUCCGGAAGAACACCGGUGGCGAAGGCGGCCUGCUGGGCAGUAGCUGACGCUGAGGCGCGACAGCGUGGGGAGCAAACAGG